AAGAUGUUGGUCCCCGUUGAAACCAGCUUAUUAGGUCAUAGUGGGCUCAGAAGGCACCGGCCGGUAAUCCUUCCACCGUCGAAAGCGGGAGGUGGACGCUGCUCUGUGAAACCAGCCUCACGCAGUCUCCUCCGCUCUAAGAGUACCCGAACAACAAGCCUUCGCUCGAGCCCGAACCCUCAACUCCCGACUUGGAAUGGGCAGGCCAGUGAAUAGCCACCCCAAACCCGGCCUAAUGAGAUCGGCCCAAGAUUCCAACAUCUUGUUGUCUUCACUUGGAUUACAAGCCCGCGUUACCAAGCUCGACGUGCAGUAGUUGCGAAUUAAUCUUAUAUAUACAAUGGAGAAAAGUUUGUUUGUUCCGAUGUGGGACUUUUAAAAACUAAAAACAUCUCACUUCCAAUGACGCCGUUUACUAUUCUUCAGUUCACAGUCUACAAUGGUUCAGUUUCUGAUUCGUUUCUUUGCUAAAUCAAGGUAUGGUUUCUGAUAAACUCGGUACUCAUUGAGACGAUUCCCUGAUAUGUUAGAAGUUCAUUGGCUCUAUGCACGGCCUCCACAGAUCAUUGCGAAAUUUGGGAAGAACAAUAGAUACAGUUUUGUUUUUACAAAAACAUUGAGCAUAAUCGUGAAGUUGAUAUAGUUUUGGGUUUUGUGAAGUUGAUAUCUGUUAUUUGAUUGCUUGCAUAAUGCCACUGAGUUUUCUAUUAAGAUUCUGCGACGAGACAGUAAGUUACAAACAAAAUUUGGUGAGAACAAUAGUUAUAGGUACGGCGAAGCUGGAGAAGAGUGGGUGGAGAGGAGAGUUGGAAGUGGUGGAGGAAGAAGAGGAAGGACAUUGCUUCCAUAUCCAUAACGCUAACUCUGAAAAUGCUUUGAAGUUGAUGAAGACAUUUGUGGCGUUCAUAUCAUCAUCCUCUGUCGAAGAGUAGUAAUAUUUGUUUCUUGUUGCUCAAGUAUGGAAUUAAAAGAUAAUAUUAAAAUAUUUGAUGCCUCCCUUUGAUUAAGUUUAGGUCCAAUAAAUUACAUCAAGUUAGGUGAUACUGAUAUCUUAAUGCAUACAAAAUCUUAUGAAACUAAAGAGAUGUUAAUAGAAUAUCAUUAUCGUGAAGCUCGUCUCAGGCAUCAGCAUGGCCUGUUCUUGAAGAAACUUAUUCUGAGUUGAACACUUGCAACUUAUUAUUGACGUAUUCCUUCCUGAUUCAGAAAUCUACAAGGACCGCUCUAAAAAUCUCACAAAACAUUCUCGAACAUGUUAAAAAGUUGUUGUCUGCGAAUUUGGAUGCAAUCGCGGUGCCAGUGUAUGAAUCUGUUUAGUCAUGAAAACUUGGUGUUGAACUGCGCAGCCUAUGUUGAUGUCCUUUCUCGUGGUGAAAAAUAAAAAGAUGUUGGUCCCCGUUGAAACCAGCUUAUUAGGUCAUAGUGGGCUCAGAAGGCACCGGCCGGUAAUCCUUCCACCGUCGAAAGCGGGAGGUGGACGCUGCUCUGUGAAACCAGCCUCACGCAGUCUCCUCCGCUCUAAGAGUACCCGAACAACAAGCCUUCGCUCGAGCCCGAACCCUCAACUCCCGACUUGGAAUGGGCAGGCCAGUGAAUAGCCACCCCAAACCCGGCCUAAUGAGAUCGGCCCAAGAUUCCAACAUCUUGUUGUCUUCACUUGGAUUACAAGCCCG
rnacentral:lncRNA from 1 species